CGUUCGUAACAAUCGUCUGGCAGAGACGGGGGAACCAAUAACGGGCUUUGUAUCUUGAAGUCCUUGGGGUGAAGCCGCAAAGCAUUCAUGAGGAGAAGCUUCUUCAAGGGAAUGCGGAGCGGCCGGGUGACUCCCAUCCGAAUCCGACAGCUUACCUCGCAGGCUUUGGGAGAGGAUCC
rnacentral:sRNA from 2 species